UACAGAGGGUGCGAGCGUUGUUCGGAAUUAUUGGGCGUAAAGGGCGCGUAGGCGGUGCGGUAAGUCACCUGUGAAAUCUCCUGGCUCAACUGGGAGCUUGCAGGCGAAACUGCCGUGCUGGAGUGUGGGAGAGGUGCGUGGAAUUCCUGGUGUAGCGGUGAAAUGCGUAGAUAUCAGGAGGAACACCUGUGGCGAAAGCGGCGCACUGGACCACAACUGACGCUGAGACGCGAAAGCGUGGGGAGCGAACGGA
rnacentral:rRNA from 1 species